GACCGUUAUGGCUGGAAGAUUACGCCGAUCGGAUACCAAUUUGUAAGUCAUGACUUCACGGCGAUCAGUGCCUGUCGAAAGAAGAUUCAGUCCAUGGGAAUUGGAACACGCCUAAGUACUUAUCGGGAGACUGCAGGUAGGCAUAUGGACACAUGGCGCAAGACUGAUCAGCAUGCCGCGUGGAAUGAUGAAUGACGCCUAGGAGUGAUAGAAGAUCAUGUUUGCUGAGCAUGAAUAAUGUCGGCUAUCAGCAGAAGUAAGACGCCGCGUAAUAUUCGUGUCAGCAGCAGCGGUAUAUGAAGGAGGGCUAGAGUGUUCUCAGUCAUCUGGGCGUAUAGAGUGCGUAGGCGGGUCUCUAAGUCUCGGGUGAAAUCUCGGAGCUCACUCCAGAGAUGCGCUUGAUACUGAAGAUAUCGAGUCUGGGAGAGAUGAGUGUAGCUGUGAGUGUAGAGCUGAAAUUCGUAUAUAUUUGCAAGAGCACCAGUGUCGAGGAGGCGUCACUGUGCCCAUACUGACGCUGUGACACGAGAGAGUGUGGAGCACACACGAUUAGAUAUCCCGGUAGUGCACACGCUAUACGAUAUAUGCCAGCCGUUAGUGUGUUUACUCACUAGUGGCGCAGCUAACGCUUUAAGCAUUCCGCCUGGGGAGUACGGUGGCAAGAUUAAAAAUCAAAAAAAUAGUCGGGGGGCCGCACAACCGGUGGAGCAUGUGGUGUAAUUUGACGCAACGCGCAGAACCUCAUCACCCCUUGUCAUCUCCCGGACCGGUUGCAGAGAUGUGACCCUCUCUUUGGGGCCCUGAGCACAGGUGUUGCAUGGCUGUUUUCAGCUCGUGUCUUGAGAUGUUGGGGUAAGUCCCGCAACGAGCGCAACCCCCCUCUUUAGUUGUUACCAUUUAGUUGAGCACUCUAAAGGGAGACCCGGGGAGAAAACGCGAGGAAGGGGGGGAUGACGUCAAAUCCUCAUGGGCCCUUCGGGCUGGGGUACACACGUGGUACAAAAGGGGUGACAAAAGGAAAUUAAGGGGGGACCCUUCGCAAAUCUCAAAAAGCCGUCUCAGUUUGGAUUGGGCUCUGCAACUCGAGCCCAUGAAGUUGGAAUCUCUAGUAAUCUUGGAUCAGCACACCACGGUGAAUACGUUCCCGGGCCCCGUACACACCCCCCCCCACACCACGGGAGUUGGGGUUACCCGAAGACGGUGCGCUAAUUCGCAACGAGGCAGCGAUGAAAAAAAGAACGAUAUAAA
rnacentral:rRNA from 1 species